rnacentral:rRNA from 1 species
GAGUUUGAUCAUGGCUCAGAUUGAACGCUGGCGGCAUGCCUUACACAUGCAAGUCGAACGGCAGCACGGGAGCUUGCUCCUGGUGGCGAGUGGCGAACGGGUGAGUAAUGCAUCGGAACGUAUCCUGGAGUGGGGGAUAACGUAGCGAAAGUUACGCUAAUACCGCAUAUUCAGUGAGCAGGAAAGCGGGGGACCUUCGGGCCUCGCGCUCUUGGAGCGGCCGAUGUCGGAUUAGCUAGUUGGUGAGGUAAAGGCUCACCAAGGCGACGAUCCGUAGCAGGUCUGAGAGGAUGAUCUGCCACACUGGAACUGAGACACGGUCCAGACUCCUACGGGAGGCAGCAGUGGGGAAUUUGGACAAUGGGGGCAACCCUGAUCCAGCCAUGCCGCGUGAGUGAAGAAGGCCUUCGGUUGUAAG